UACGGAGGGUGCGAGCGUUUGUCCGGAUUUAUUGGGUUUAAAGGGUGCGUAGGUGGCUUGUUAAGUCAGUGGUGAAAUACAGCCGCUCAACGGUUGAGGUGCCAUUGAUACUGACAAGCUUGAAACAAGUGGAGGUUGCCGGAAUGGAUGGUGUAGCGGUGAAAUGCAUAGAUAUCAUCCAGAACACCGAUUGCGAAGGCAGGUGACUACGUUUGAUUUGACACUGAGGCACGAAAGCAUGGGGAGCAAACAGG
rnacentral:rRNA from 1 species